rnacentral:rRNA from 1 species
AGAGACAGCAGCCGCCGCGGGAAUACGUAGGUGGCAAGCGUUGUCCGGAUUUAUUGGGCGUAAAGCGAGCGCAGGCGGUUCCUUAAGUCUGAUGUGAAAGCCCCCGGCUCAACUGGGGAGGGUCAUUGGAAACUGGGGAACUUGAAUGCAGAAGAGGAGAGUGGAAUUCCAUGUGUAGCGGUGAAAUGCGUAGAUAUAUGGAGGAACACCAGUGGCGAAGGCGACUCUCUGGUCUGUAACUGACGCUGAGGCUCGAAAGCGUGGGUAGCAAACAGGAUUAGAUACCCUGUAGUCCCUGUCUCUUAUACA